rnacentral:ribozyme from 14 species
GCACGGCCGGCAAAGCUCAACGCCAAAAAAAGAAGAAGAAAAAGAAAAAGGAGAAGAAGAAGAAGAAGAAGAAAAAGUUUUCUCCCGUUUCUGCU